CUACGGAGGGGGUUAGCGUUGUUCGGAAUUACUGGGCGUAAAGCGCACGUAGGCGGACUGGAAAGUUGGGGGUGAAAUCCCGGGGCUCAACCCCGGAACUGCCUCCAAAACUUCCAAUCUAGAGAUCGAGAGAGGUGAGAGGAAUUCCAAGUGUAGAGGUGAAAUUCGUAGAUAUUUGGAGGAACACCAGUGGCGAAGGCGGCUCACUGGCUCGAUACUGACGCUGAGGUGCGAAAGCGUGGGGAGCAAACAGGAUUAGAAACCCCAGUAGUCC
rnacentral:rRNA from 1 species